UUAAGUAAGUAAGGGCGUACGGCGGAUGCCUUGGCCAUAUCAGCCGAAGAAGGACGCGAUAAGCUGCGAUAAGCUGCGGUAAGGUGCAAGUAACCAGUGACCCGCAGAUUUCCGAAUGGGGAAACCCGGCAGUAGUAGUACUGUCACCUCUCUUUGAGAGGAGGGCACCCGGUGAACUGGGUGAGAGCCCGGUAGACGUAAAGAAGGGUAUGGGGUAGUAUCCAGAGUACCACGGGGCACGAGGAACCUUGUGGGAAGCAGGGGGGACCACCCUCCAAGGCGAAAUACUGAUAUGGACCGAUAGCGCAUAGUACCGUGAGGGAAAGGUGAAAAGAACCCCGGGAGGGGAAUGAAAGAGAACCUGAAACCGUAUGUCUACAAGCAGUCGAAGCACCGUAUGCGUGCGACGGCGUGCCUAUUGAAGAAUGAACCGGCGAGUUAUUUCAUCCGGCGAGGUUAAGCGGAAAACGCGGAGCCGAAGCGAAAGCGAGUCUGAAUAGGGCGACAAGUCGGAUGGAAUAGACCCGAAACCACAGUGAUCUAUCCAUGCCCAGGUUGAAGCACAGGUAAAAAUGUGUGGAGGACCGAACCAGUGAGCGUUGAAAAGCUUUUGGAUGAGGCCUCAUGGCAAGAGUGCAGGCGGUAGAGCACUGAACAGGGUAGGGGCCUAUCCGGCUACCGAACCUAAUCAAACUACGAAUGGCUGUACUUAUCCAUGGGAGUCAGACUGCGAGUGAUAAGACCCGUAGUCAAGAGGGAAACAGCCCAGACCAACAGCUAAGGUCCCCAAUGCCGUACUAAGUGGUAAAGGAUGUGGAGUUUCGAAAACAACCAGGAUGUUGGCUUAGAAGCAGCCACCAUUAAAAGAGUGCGUAAUAGCUCACUGGUCGAGAGACUCUGCGCCGAAGAUGACCGGGGCUAAAGUACGGAACCGAAGCUUUGGCAUGUAUGUAAAUACAUGGGUAGGGGAGCGUUCCUGCAUGGGCGAAGCCUGACCGGAAGGACAGGUGGACAGGCAGGAAGUGAGAAUGCCGGUAUGAGUAGCGAAAAGAAAGGUGAGAAUCCUUUCCACCGAAAGCCUAAGGGUUCCUGGGCAACGAUCGUCGACCCAGGGUAAGUCGGGACCUAAUCCGAGGCGAAGACGCAUAGGAGAUGGACAACAGGUUGAAAUUCCUGUACCGACGUCGUCUGUUUGAGCGAUGGAGUGACACAAGAAGGAAAGUUCGCAUGCGAUUGGAAGAGCAUGUCUAAGCAGGUAGGUUGAAUACCAGGCAAAUCCGGUAUUCUAAAAGCCGAGAAGUGAUAGGGAGCCUGUAGAGAUACAGGUGAAGGAACCGGGACUCAAUUGUCAAGAAAAGCUUCUAGUGAGGACGACGCCGCCCGUACCAAAACCGACACAGGUAGGCAAGAAGAGAAUUCUAAGGUGCGCGGGAAAACCCUCGUUAAGGAACUCGGCAAAAUGUAUCCGUAACUUCGGGAAAAGGAUAACCCAGAGUACGUGAAGGAAAGAAACAUCCGGAGCGGGAAUGGGUGGCACAAGAGAGGCCCAAGCGACUGUUUACCACAAACACAGGCGUCUGCUAAAGAGAAAUCUGAUGUAUAGAUGCUGACACCUGCCCGGUGCUGGAAGGUUAAGAGGACGUGUUAGCCGCAAGGCGAAGCAGAGAAUUGAAGCCCCAGUAAACGGCGGCCGUAACUAUAACGGUCCUAAGGUAGCGAAAUUCCUUGUCGGGUAAGUUCCGACCCGCACGAAAGGUGUAACGA
rnacentral:rRNA from 1 species